ensembl:lncRNA LINC00554 long intergenic non-protein coding RNA 554
GGUAGCAGGCGGAAGUGCGGCCCUCGAGGCGGUCGCGGCCUGUCGGGGCUUGGAGCGAAUGGCUCCAAGGCCGCAGGCUGGGCCUGGGCCGCAGCCGUGGGAAGCCGACGAUGCCUGAGGCGCUCUGUCCUCGGCCCACCCUAGGAACUUGUAUGACCGCAGGAAAGGAUCAGGAGAGGCCGCUGCCCGUCUCCCACCGGCUCUAGGCUCCCUCGGCCGACCGAUGUGGGGAAGGGGAAGGGGCCCGCGCCGAGGCUCUAGGGGAGGCUCCUAGGCCGGGUUCUCUGACUUAAGGCCCUCUUGGCUGUGGUUUUGCGGGAGUGAGUUGAGGGAGCUGCAUUCACUCAAGUCCCUCACAUGCCCGAGGGCCCGGGAAUCGUGAAGCCGGGCCUGCGGACCCGGUGGGAGGAAGGAGUGCGAAGCGCGGCCGCCGUGCUCGGCCGGCGCCGGGCUAGGUCGGGCGGUGGGGACCGCGCCGGCAUAGGACAACGCGGUGGAGGGAAGCACCUGCCCCCGCCCACCUUGACUCAGGGCCGCCGCGCCCCUCCUGGGCCAUCCGCGCGGGGGUCUCAGGAUGGCGAAACCCGGGACCUCGCGGCCCUCUAGUGCUCCCCUGCCAGGGUGCGACCUAGGUACCCUUUAUCGAGCCCCACUCCCCAAGGCAGAGAGAGUUCGACGUUCCCAAGGAGGGAGUCUCCAUGGAGGAAUUCGUCCUGCUUCACUUCCAGAGUUGAAAGCCCGUCGGUUCUGCAAAGAGGAGCAGUCGGGCGCGGGCUAGCAAGCAGCUGAUGAAAAUAAUUGUCCUCGCACACACAGCCCUGCGCCCAGGGGCGCGCGCGCGCACACACACACACACACACACACACACACACACACACACAACUUGCCUCCUCUAGCCGCCCAACCUUAAUAUUCCGGGCAUGCAGUUUUCAACAACUUGCCUGACACAAUAACAAAGACAUUUAAAUGCCAGGACGCAGACUUCACUUUUUAACCUGCUGAGAGGAGCUACUUUCAAAGCUUCCCCACCGCGAAUAAACUGACAAAAAAUAUGGGGUGCACUUAUAAAUUAAACACCUUACCCUCAAAGCAAUAUACGUUAAUCAGGUUUCUAAGGCAAUAGCCAUCUCUGUCUUUUCCUAUUCACCCAAAUAAUGCCCCCAGAAGGAACCCCUUUACACAAGAGAGAACUGGAAAAAAAAUGAAUUAUACCCAUUGCUAGUAAAAAAUCAUCUUAAAUCAAUAGAGCACCACUUGAACUUGAGUUUCUAUUGUUUCACUGAAUCAUCAAUGUUUUUAAUUAAACAGAGCUACCCUUUCUGUUAAAACAUUACAUAAAAGGGUUAGGUUUCUACUUUUGUUGAGGCAGCUGGCGUUUGUUGGCUGUUGUGUUUGAGCAACAGACUGUUCAAUGGAAGCGAGAAAUAGCUCAACGCGCUCUUAAUAGACCUGUUUCAACAAUGUAUCUUGAAAAGGAAUACAUUGUGUUAUUGUGUUAGUUUGCUACAAACCUAUUAAAAGAAAAAUAGCAUCCAUCAGGUCUAACAAGACGCAUUUGUAUUAUACGUACUUAUCUGCUUCAAAUACACUUCUUGGCACAAUGUCUAGAAUUCAACUAGAUCAUCAGGAGCUGGGCAGAAGAACGCAUACCAGUUAGGUAAUGAUACACGGGCUAAAAAUAAUAAUAAAGGAAGGACUAAGCAGACGGUAAUUGCUACUUUUUUGUGUAUCAUGAGAAAUAACAGGCAACCCUACUUCAAUUAAAAAUAUAUUGCAAAAGUGUGGACUCCUACGACAAAAACAAUUUAAAAAAUAUUUGUAGCAUGGGAAUAUUGAUCCAUAUCCCAUAUUUGGAACGAAUCUGAUACACUUUCGAUAGGAAUUUGUUUCAGAGAAGGAUUCAGGGCAGAAGCGAUGCAUUUUUAAAGCAGAAUUAAAACAGCGCAAAGAGCCCGGCUCUUUAGGGAAAUGCGCGAAACAAACAAAUCGAAAGCAAGCGUUCCAGCCAAGUGGUUGGGGAGCACCGUUGUCUGGCACUAGGAAAGGAAGUGCUUCUUGAAAGUGUUCUCUUAAAAAUGAUUUUCCAGACUUAUUUUAUUGCAUUUUAAUCACAAAGUGAAACUUAAAGCAAAGAAACAGGACAUUCCCGCUACCGAACAGAACCUAUCGUCUAUUGCAGGAAUGACUGCUACUUGGACCACAGACCUUUAGAAAAAACAGAGAGGCAAAUGAUUAGGCUAAUUUAACGCGGAGAUCUGCUUAGCAGAAAAGACACCCAAAGUAGCAUCUGUCAGAGGAAAACAUCUUUUGCUUCCACACAAGGCACUCGAUUUGGUUUCCAACCUUGAGUCCUCAACAUUCAACUUUCAAGUGCAACAAUGUUGGAGGCACAAGAGAAUAGUAGAUUACCUACAAGUGAACACAAUUGUACGGAAAAGAGACUUACAUAAGUUACAAUGGCACCCUAUGUGAGAUAUCUACUUUAACAAAUAUGUAGAGCAAUAUUUUGCCCAAUAAAGUCAAUCAUUUGUUACAUUUUUGAAUAAGUAAAUUAUCACAUGAAGAUUUAGAAAAAUGUUACCCUGAAACAUUAAACGAUAGUUUUGCCAUAUUACAAAAUAGCUAUUUUAAACUUUUGUAUAAGGCAUUUGAAGCCAAAUGGCUGAUAUGACUGUUCUCUUCAGCUGGAACAUUUUUUUUCUUCUCAAGAAGGGUGUGUGUGAAUGAUGUGUGUGCAUACUGGAGGUAGUUGAGAAGAAUUUGAUUAAUACAUAAGACUUUUCACUAAUGUCUCCCCUCUAAUCCAAAUUUACUUUUUAAAUUAAUUCACUUGGAUUUAAAAACAGAAAUGAGAUAAUAAACCACAAAUUACACAUUAUAAAAAUUAGUUUCUCCAAUGUAUAUGAUUUUUGGAAGAGUGCAUUUUCAAGGUGAGAAUUUUUGAUGUGUCUGAUAAUCUGCCAGAUAUGAGAGGAAUGUCACAAUAAAAUUGGUUUUGCCAUGAUAUGAAA